UGAUGAUUAGGGUUGGGCAUCGUUUUGAUUUCAACAAUUUGGAUUCUUCCUUUCGAUUCUGGUUCUUAUUGAUUCUCGAUUCAGAAUUUUUUGGAUUGGUGGAGUUGAAACUAGUCACAUGCUUA